AAUAAUUUAAGCCGUCUCCGAAUGGCAAAUUGUUUUUAUGAGCUUUCAAGGCAGAAAUAGACUCGGAUUAUUGCCUGCAGAGCGGCGACCGCUGUUGGAAAACUUUUUAUAAUUUACGUGUUGCUAGGGCCAGGGAUCUAACCCAGGUCUUACGGAGUGGUAGUACGCGCCUCUACCCACUCAGCAACCACGGCCAGCGUAAAUUUAUUUUGGAAAGGGUAUACACAUUGGUUUCAGUCAAGUUACAGAAAUUUUUUAAAUCAAAAAAAUUACAUGGUAAAUUUCAGAAAUACAAAAAACGCGAAAUUAAAAAGUUGCCGAUUAUAUAAAGUUGGUAUCGCCCGACCUUAGCUUUGUUUACCUAUUACUUUUGCUAUAUUUUUAAAUAAAUAUGUUUUUAAAUAUGUAUUAAGACUUAGUUUUUACUGAAGAAGACAAGCUUUGUAUACUAUAUAUAAUUACUUUAUUACUUUUAACCGGAUUGACAGUUCGUGGGCAUAUUAUGUCUUGUGAUAUUCGAAUACUAGAGAUAAAAAAAAUUUCCAAAAAA